AUGAGGGAAACAUCUGCAAUGCAGUAAAUAGGAGCCAAUAGGAAAAUUGGAGGGUAGAUAUGAGGGGUAAAUACAUUACAACUUGAAAAACUUGGAAUAAAACUGUGCUGAACAGAUUCACUGGUAACACUAAAACAGACUUUUCCAUUGUCAGCUGUUCCUCAAUAUCGAUGUUAUAACCUAUUGCUUUUGGGUCAUUUUUAGGUUGUCUUAGAUGGGAACCAUGAAGUCCUGGAGAAAGACAAGGCAUGAAGAACAGAGUAGGCCUUUGACUCCAGACACAAAGGCCUUGCAGGAUUACAUUUUGUAGGAAGGCUUGCUCUUUUCCUCAGCUGAAGAAUCUACAUCCCCAUAGAACUGAUUUGGAAACUGUCCACUAGUUGUGAUCCAGACAUGCAGCUGAGCUGUUCAGGAGGUGGACAUGAUUUUAAUUCCCACAUCUCCCUUUAUCAGGUCCUACCUACCCUCCUUACCUAACUGGUAGAAGGACAAGCUUCAGUCUUCUGGGACAUCCUCCUUACAGAACCUUAAGAGGUUCUCUGUAAGUCUGCUGAUUUUAGGAUUUUCUUUUUCCAAGAGUCAAGAGACAGCCAUUUGUUAUUGAACACAUUUUUCUGGUUCUAUUAAGAAGC